UACGUAGGUGGCAAGCGUUGUCCGGAUUUACUGGGCGUAAAGGGCGUGCAGGCGGUCUGUUAAGUCUAGGGUGAAAGCUCCCGGCUCAACUGGGAGAGGUCCUUGGAUACUGGCGGACUUGAGGGAGGCAGAGGAGUAUGGAAUUCCCGGUGUAGUGGUGAUAUGCGUAGAUAUCGGGAGGAACACCAGUGGCGAAGGCGGUACUCUGGGCCGUUAACCCGGAGCUGAGACGCGAAAGCGUGGGGAGCGAACCGG
rnacentral:rRNA from 1 species